UGGUGAUGAUGAUGCAUUUAAGGCUUGUUUCUCAUAACAUUCGCAGUUGCCGCCUAAGAACUUUCGCCUUGCCAGGCUUGAGAGUUGAUGCUGCUAAUUCCUUCCUUGGAUGUCUGAGCCA
rnacentral:snoRNA from 1 species